CCUACGGGCGGCAGCAGUGGGGAAUAUUGGACAAUGGGCGAAAGCCUGAUCCAGCCAUGCCGCGUGUGUGAAGAAGGCCUUCGGGUUGUAAAGCACUUUCAGUGGGGAAGAAAGCCUUGGGGCUAAUACCCUCGAGGAAGGACAUCACCCACAGAAGAAGCACCGGCUAACUCCGUGCCAGCAGCCGCAGGUAAUACGGAGGGUGCGAGCGUUAAUCGGAAUUACUGGGCGUAAAGCGCGCGUAGGCGGUCUGAUAAGCCGGUUGUGAAAGCCCCGGGCUCAACCUGGGAACGGCAUCCGGAACUGUCAGGCUAGAGUGCAGGAGAGGAAGGUAGAAUUCCCGGUGUAGCGGUGAAAUGCGUAGAGAUCGGGAGGAAUACCAGUGGCGAAGGCGGCCUUCUGGACUGACACUGACGCUGAGGUGCGAAAGCGUGGGUAGCAAACAGGAUUAGAUACCCGAGUAGUC
rnacentral:rRNA from 1 species